AUUGGACAUUCAACAUUGAACAUCGCUAUUUCUCGUCUUCAAAAUAAUCUAGCGAUUACACAUAUACAAAAUGGUCAAAAUGCAACCAGAAACAAAGAAGAGAUUAGCGGUAGUAUGGAAGGCUACGCGGACUGUGUUUGUCUGGGGAUACGUACCGUUUAUACUAUAUUUAGGUUUCAAGAAAGGAGCUGACCCUGGUAUGCCAGAACCCACACUGCUAAGCUUGUUAUGGGCAUAGGAUAAGUGAGAAUGUUUUCAACCUGGACAAUGUAUUGAACUCUGAGACCUUUUGUGCAACUUGUAUGCCAGCAGAAAGUAUGCACAGUAUGGAUACUACCAUAGAAAGUGUGAUCGCAUUAAAAUAGAUACCAGAGAUUUAUUGUGCCAGCAUUACCAUCAUAGAUGAUAUAAAGUUGUUAUCACAAUGAAUAUUUCUAUUUAACAAAGCAGGAAUUAUUGAAUAUUUUUUUUGAUAAUACAUGUACAUGACAAAACAUGCAAUGAGAUUAUAAAGCCUAUUUGUUAUUGUUAAAA